UACGUAGGGGGCAAGCGUUAUCCGGAUUUACUGGGUGUAAAGGGAGCGUAGACGGUUUUGCAAGUCUGAAGUGAAAGCCCGGGGCUUAACCCCGGGACUGCUUUGGAAACUGUAGAACUAGAGUGCAGGAGAGGUAAGUGGAAUUCCUAGUGUAGCGGUGAAAUGCGUAGAUAUUAGGAGGAACACCAGUGGCGAAGGCGGCUUACUGGACUGUAACUGACGUUGAGGCUCGAAAGCGUGGGGAGCAAACAGG
rnacentral:rRNA from 1 species